AUUUUUCUACCAGGUUCCAAAGCACAGAUGAGAAGAAAGAACCAAAGCUGAAGUUAAGCAAUCUGAUGGCCAUCCCAGCAGAUUUCUCUGGGCUGAGACCAGCUUUGUCACAAUGAAGUACUCGACCAAGACCCUGUAAAGAAGAAGAUUGCUGAGAAAACAGCUUCACAAGCGGUGGAUGCCAGCAAAGCUUCCGCUUCUCGGAACCAAAAGAGCAAUAUCUCCUUCUGACUCAUUUCUCAAGACUCCUGACUAUUACCACUUUGUAUCGCAUUAUGGGGCAAGCAAGCUGCUUUGGAUCACAGAACUGCUAUGCAUUCCAAACUUCCUCCCCAAGAGAGAAAACACAAUGUAAUGUACAGUCAUGGGCCUGAAUAAAUUUCUUUUC